UGCGUCUUGUACUGUUUAAGUACACUCCCAAGUAACUUGAGCGGGUUUUGAUUGAGAUAUAUUGUUUCAAUAUGGCAGGUUGUCUUGCUCUGUUCCUGUGUACUGGCAUUCUUCCUGAAUUACUGUAUAUUUCUUAAUACGACACUAAAUUCAGCACUAACGCAGACAAUUUGCGAUAACUUGAAGGAUUUCUUUACCAUUGGACUUGGCUGGGUGAUAUUUGGUGGCCUUCCAUUUGAUAUUUUGAAUGUCAUUGGGCAAUGUCUCG